rnacentral:rRNA from 1 species
UACAGAGGUCUCAAGCGUUGUUCGGAUUCAUUGGGCGUAAAGGGUGCGUAGGUGGCGCCGUAAGUGGGGUGUGAAAUCCCGGGGCUUAACCCCGGGACUGCAUUCCAUACUGCGGUGCUUGAGGACUGGAGAGGAGACUGGAAUUUACGGUGUAGCAGUGAAAUGCGUAGAGAUCGUAAGGAAGACCAGUGGCGAAGGCGGGUCUCUGGACAGUUCCUGACACUGAGGCACGAAGGCCAGGGGAGCAAACAGG